ensembl:lncRNA
AUGAUCGAUCAAUCAGCAAACCAAAAAAUAAAAUCAUGGAUGUUUUCUACAUGCCGGACACUGUGCCAGAGAUAUUUUGGAAGUCUAAAUCUCUGUUGGAUUUGCCAGUUCCCCUUCUGCCUUGGAGAAGGCCCCAAAGGAUUCUUUGCAGGUGACUGGAACCGAGGCAAGCCGGCUGUGAAAGCAUUCAUGGAUGCUGGGACCUCGCUGCAAGAAGCUGAGGCUACUGCUGCUUAUCUCCAGGGCGGGGAAUGGGCAGCCUCUCCUCCAGCACGAGAGCCUGGGUUCCGCUCCUUCCUCCCGAAGGGACUUGAAGAAGAAAUCACACAGGGGAAGGCCUCAGCUGUGGGAGGCUGGAGCAGCAAAGCCAAUAAACCCAGCUUUAUUUGUAAUGUGCCCGUGCUUCUUAUUUUGUUAGCCUCUACUCUGCUUCUUUGGAGCAAUGAAACAAGGAAAAGAAAAGAAAAAAAAAAAAAAGAGCCCCGCUCUAAGUAUGCAUGAACUUUAUGGCCUCACUCUGCUCUCUGUCCUCCUCCUUCCCACCAGGGUUGCCUGUGAAUUCUUCUCCCAGACUUCGUGUUUUCCAUCCUAACUUUUAUGACAUUUCCCUCGAUUAAUGGCUAACACAUUCAUUUUCUCCCCUCCACCCUCAUUAUCAAAGAGCGCUUGAAUAACUAUUAACUCUCUGGUUAACAGAAACAUGUUAAUCAUCUACAAGCCCUUGGGCAGGAAAAUGAUUCUUUGUAACCUUCUCCCAAAGGCGGGAGAGCCCUUGUCCCCUGGGAGCUGACCUUCAGACCAACCCCGGUCUAGAGGUUGGCAG